rnacentral:rRNA from 1 species
GAUGAACGCUGGCGGCGUGCCUAAUACAUGCAAGUCGAGCGAACAGAUGAGGAGCUUGCUCCUCUGACGUUAGCGGCGGACGGGUGAGUAACACGUGGAUAACCUACCUAUAAGACUGGGAUAACUUCGGGAAACCGGAGCUAAUACCGGACAAUAUAUUGAACCGCAUGGUUCAAUAGUGAAAGACGGUUUUGCUGUCACUUAUAGAUGGAUCCGCGCCGCAUUAGCUAGUUGGUAAGGUAACGGGUUACCAAGGCAACGAUGCGUAGCCGACCGGAGAGGGGGAUCGCCCACACUGGAACGGAGACACGGUCCAGACGCCUACGGGAGGCAGCAGUAGGGAAUCUGCCGCAAUGGGCGAAAGCCUGACGGAGCACCGCCGCGUGAGUGAUGAAGGUCUUCGGAUCGUAAAACUCUGUUAUUAGUGAAGAACAAAUGUGUAAGUAACUAUGCACGUCUUGACGGUACCUAAUCAGAAAGCCACGGCUAACUACGUG